rnacentral:rRNA from 1 species
GGGGAAUAUUGCGCAAUGGGGGCAACCCUGACGCAGCAAUACCGCGUGAGUGAAGAAGGUUUUCGGAUCGUAAAGCUCAGUUAUUGGGGAAGAAGAAUGACGGUACCCAAUGAGGAAGUCCCGGCUAACUACGUGCCAGCAGCCGCGGUAAUACGUAGGGGACAAGCGUUGUCCGGAAUGACUGGGCGUAAAGGGCGCGUAGGCGGUCUAUUAAGUCUGAUGUGAAAGGUGCCGGCUCAACCGGUGAAGUGCAUUGGAAACUGGGUGUCUAGAGUGUUGGAGAGGAAAGUGGAAUUCCUAGUGUAGCGGUGAAAUGCGUAGAGAUUAGGAAGAACACCAGUGGCGAAGGCGACUUUCUGGACAAUAACUGACGCUGAGGCUCGAAAGCGUGGGGAGCAAAC